GUGUCAGCCGCCGCGGUAAUACGUAGGGGGCAAGCGUUGUCCGGAUUUAUUGGGCGUAAAGAGCGUGUAGGCGGCCCGACAGGUCCGUUGUGAAAACUCGAGGCUCAACCUCGAGACGUCGAUGGAAACCGUCGGGCUAGAGUCCGGAAGAGGAGAGUGGAAUUCCUGGUGUAGCGGUGAAAUGCGCAGAUAUCAGGAGGAACACCCGUGGCGAAAGCGGCUCUCUGGGACGGUACUGACGCUGAGACGCGAAAGCGUGGGGAGCGAACAGGAUUAGAAACCCGAGUAGUCC
rnacentral:rRNA from 1 species